rnacentral:misc_RNA from 1 species
AAAUGACUGCCCAAAUUUCCAAUGCAAUGUCCGAUUCGUGUGAUAUGAACGAAGAUGCAUUGUGGUUCCGUAAAAAAUACAUUCCAACAGCUUUCUUUUUCUUCUCUUUUAUGGCAUAAAUGACCAGGAAAUAUAUUCCAAGUUUUGGAAAUAAAAGGUGCAGGUCCUAAAGGGAACAUGUUCAGAUUUUUCCUUGCUUCCGGUCCACCAAAGCCCGUCCACCAUUAAUUUCGUCUCAUAUUUAGCUCUUCUCAGCUUUGUCUCAUAUUUAGCUUUCCCUCAACAGUUAUCCGCUUGGCUCUGACAUUUAGUAUUAUGGAGAGGCACAGAAACAAGAAAUUCAAGUUUACCCCUAAGCUAUCAGAUUCAUUUAUAUAUAACCCUCUGUAAUAAUGAAAGCAUAUACAUAAACAAUCGAAAA